GGUCAUCAAUUUCUCUUGAUUUCGUUCUGUAUGUAGAAAAUAUAACUUAUAUAUUAUAAUAUUACGCUACCAUAGAGUUAGCAGACUAUGUUGAGAAAAAUAAAAAAUCAGACCAAGUCGCUAUUUUACUAUUAGUUAUUUUCAAUUAAAAGUAAAACUAAAAAAAAUUCAAUAUAACUAUCUAUAUUAUUGGUUCAUAGUAAGUUUAAAACAUUUAGUAAACCAAAAAUUCAAUCGAAAUGAUAUGUCUUCUUACUAUUAGCAAAAAUUAAUUUUAGUAACAUUUUCUCUGAUGAAAUAUAUAGAUUUUUUAGGAUAGAAAACUAUGCGAUAUCUGAUAAGGUAUUAAUAUGUUGGUUGUUGGAUUCUUAUCAUUUAUUAUUUAACAGCUGGACAACAAGUUGGCGUUUGCUACGGAAGAUACGGUGACAAUCUCCCGUCGCCGGCAGAAACCAUUGAGCUCUUCAAACAGAAAAACAUCCGGCGAGUUAGGCUUUACAGUCCGGACCACGACGUUCUUGCCGCCUUACGUGGCUCCGACAUCGAAGUCAUGUUGGGCCUCCCUAACCAGGACCUUCAACGCAUAGCCUCUAGCCAAUCUGAAGCUGACACGUGGGUCCAAAACAACGUCAACAACUACGUGGAUGACGUCAAGUUCCGUUACGUAUCUGUUGGGAACGAAGUGAAGAUCUUUGACUCUUACUCACAAUUUCUAGUCCCUGCCAUGGAAAAUAUUGACCGGGCGGUAUUAGGAUCCGGACUCGGCGGUCGUAUUAAGGUAUUACCACCAAAACUUUUGGCAUUUUAAAUUAUAAGUUUUCUCUUCUGCUCACCAUUUAAUUAAUUUUUACUUUAGUUUACAAUUCGCAAAAUAUUUUGCAAAAUAUUUUUUUUUUCCUGGUCACCAAUUCGUUAAUUUUAUUUUUGUUCACAGUUAGCAAAAUUAUCUAAUAAUCAAAGAAAUAUUUAUUUUCUAAUUGUAAAUCUUGUUUUGAAAACGUAAGUGCGUUUGAAAUGAAACAAUGGAACCGCUAAAUUGUCUUUUUAUUUUAUACGAAAUUUGGUAGCAUGCAUGUAUCUUUAUUGCGUUUGAAACAUUACGUUUUGUUGUAAAUGCUUGAUUCUUAAUAGGUAUCAACAGCGAUAGACAUGGGAGUGCUCGGAGAGUCUUACCCACCUUCAAAAGGUUCGUUUAAAGGAGAAGUAAUGGUGCUCAUGGAACCAAUCAUACGUUUCUUGGUAAACAAGAAAUCUCCUUUACACUUAAACCUCUACACUUACUUCAGCUACGCGGGCAAUCCAGACCAAAUCCGACUCGAUUACGCUCUCUUCACGGCUUCUCCAGGAACCGUCUCAGACCCUCCAAGAUCUUACCAGAACCUAUUCGAUGCGAUGCUCGAUGCGGUGCAUUCGGCUCUAGAGAGAUCUGGUGGUGAAUCGUUGGAUGUUGUCGUGUCGGAGACUGGAUGGCCAACGGAAGGAGGAACCGAGACUAAUCUGGAGAAUGCGAGGAUUUAUAGCAAUAAUUUGAUUAAUCAUGUGAAGAAUGGGACACCGAAGAGACCAGGGAAAGAAAUCGAGACUUAUUUAUUUGCGAUGUAUGAUGAGAAUAAGAAGCCUACUCCUCCUGAUGUUGAGAAGUUUUGGGGAUUAUUUCAUCCGAACAAGCAGCCUAAGUACGAG
rnacentral:lncRNA from 1 species